CAUCACUUAGAUUUGAAGCGCAUUAGAAAGUGAUCUUUUAAUGGCCAGUAUGAACAGAAGUAAGGAUUAAAGCAA